rnacentral:rRNA from 1 species
ACGAACGCUUGCGGCGUGCUUAACACCUGCCAGUCGCACGGAAAGGCCCUGCUUGCAGGGUACUCGAGUGGCGAACGGGUGAGUAACACGUGGGUGAUCUGCCCUGCACUUCGGGAUAAGCCUGGGAAACUGGGUCUAAUACCGGAUAGGAGCCAUUUUUAGUGUGAUGGUUGGAAAGUUUUUUCGGUGUAGGGUGAGCUCGCGGCCUAUCAGCUUGUUGGUGGGGUAAUGGCCUACCAAGGCGGCGACGGGUAGCCGGCCUGAGAGGGUGGACGGCCACACUGGGACUGAGAGACGGCCCAGGCUCCUACGGGAGGCAGCAGUGGGGAAUAUUGCACGAGGGGCGCCAGCCUGAUGCAGCGACGCCGCGUGGGGGAUGACGGUCUUCGGGUUGUAAACUCAUUUCGCUAGGGACUGAGCUUUUUGUGACGGUACCUAGAUAAGAAGCACCGGCUAACUACGUG